rnacentral:tRNA from 1 species
UGGGGCGUCGUCUAAGGGUAGGACAUCAGACUUUGACUCUGAGUAUCGUGGUUCAAAUCCACGCGCCCCAG